UCGAGAAUCUUCCGCAAUGGGCGAAAGCCUGACGGAGCGACGCCGCGUGGUGGAUGAAGUCCUUCGGGACGUAAACACCUUUUAUGAGGGAGGAAAUUUUGACGUUACCUCAUGAAUAAGGGGCUCCUAACUCUGUGCCAGCAGGAGCGGUAAUACAGAGGCCCCAAGCAUUAUCCGGAUUUACUGGGCGUAAAGGGUGCGUAGGCGGUCAUAUUAGUCAGAUGUUAAAUCCCGGGGCUCAACCCCGGAAUCGCAUUUGAAACGGUAUGACUAGAAGAAGUCAGAGGCAAGCAGAACUCACGGUGUAGGGGUGAAAUCCGUUGAUAUCGUGGGGAAUACCAAAUGCGAAGGCAGCUUGCUGGGACUCUCUUGACGCUAAGGCACGAAAGCGUGGGUAGCG
rnacentral:rRNA from 1 species